rnacentral:rRNA from 1 species
AUUGAACGCUGGCGGCAUGCCUUACACAUGCAAGUCGAACGGCAGCACGGAGCUUGCUCUGGUGGCGAGUGGCGAACGGGUGAGUAAUAUAUCGGAACGUACCCAAGAGUGGGGGAUAACGUAGCGAAAGUUACGCUAAUACCGCAUACGAUCUAAGGAUGAAAGUGGGGGCUCGCAAGACCUCAUGCUCCUGGAGCGGCCGAUAUCUGAUUAGCUAGUUGGUGAGGUAAAGGCUCACCAAGGCAUCGAUCAGUAGCUGGUCUGAGAGGACGACCAGCCACACUGGAACUGAGACACGGUCCAGAAUCCUACGGGAGGCAGCAGUGGGGAAUUUUGGACAAUGGGGGCAACCCUGAUCCAGCAAUGCCGCGUGAGUGAAGAAGGCCUUCGGGUUGUAAAGCUCCUUUGUCAGGGAAGAAACGGUGAAGGCUAAUAUCCUUUGCUAAUGACGGUACCUGAAGAAUAAGCACCGGCUAACUACGUGCCAGCCGCCGCCGUAACAC